UUGGACGCAAGGCUUCCAUGAGGCUGUGAAGGAGGCUGCAUGGAAACCGGUGGGGACCUGAAAAGCUUUUAGUGGCCUCGCCACAUACAGCACUUUAGAUGCUCAGGUGACGAGCAACAUUUUCCAAGCCCAGCUAGUGAGCACCCCACCUGCUCUGGCUUCCAGAACCUGGUGUGGAGGGCCGGGGGAGGCUUCGGGACUGAAGAGCAGAGCAGCAGACUCCGGGGCUCAUGUAGGAACAUGCCUUCAGCCAAAGAUUAUCCAUGCUGCAUGGAGACUCUUGCUAAAUAUCACUGGUGUUCUCUGACAGCCAGGACAAGGAAGAAGCCCCGGCAUGCAAACCCCGGAGCCAGGGGCAGUGUUGCCAGGAGCCCUAUGCCUUGAUUUCACCCCCAAACCCUUCAACUGGUACCUCAGAAGAGCAGAGGUGAAAGACAGGGAGCCUCCCCCUGAGAAGAGCUUCUGGGAACUCAAAGGUGCUAUUCAACUAAAAUGGAAUCUCACUCUGUCACCCAGGCUGCAGUGCGUGGCAUGAUGUCGGCUCACUGCAACCUCCACCUCUCGGGUUCAAGUGAUUCUCCUGCCUCAGCCUCCUGAGUAGC
rnacentral:antisense_RNA from 1 species